CAAUAGCGUAUAUUAAAGUUGUUGCAAUUAAAAAGCUCGUAGUUGGAUUUCUGGUAGGAGUGACCGUUCCGAACUUGAUUGUUCGUGUAUUGUGUUUUCUCCAGCCAUCCUUGUGGAGAACUUUUCUUGCAUUAAUUUGUAGGGAUUGGGACCCGCAUCGUUUACUGUGAAAAAAUUAGAGUGUUUAAAGCAGGCAAUCGCUUGAAUACAUUAGCAUGGAAUAAUAAGAUAGGACUUUGGUACUAUUUUGUUGGUUUGCAUACCAAAUUAAUGAUCAACAGGAACAGUUUGAGGAUAUUCGUAUGAACAUGUCAGAGGUGAAAUUCUUGGAUUUUGAUCAGACGAACUACUGCGAAAGCAUUUAUCAAGGAUGUUUUCAUUAA
rnacentral:rRNA from 1 species